AACUCUGGCACUGACCCAGAAAAUCGCUAGUUUUACUGUACAGUUAAAAUGUAUAUAGCCAGAUAGGGGCCAGUGACUGAUAUACUUUAAGUGUUGAGAGGUCACAGGGUAAGGCCUUCAAAAUUCCUGGCCUUUAAACGGGACUACAAGAGUAAUGGUGGGGUUGAUCUGCCCUCUCAGAGGAUAAGGAAGAGCUGUUGCAUGUGCUGUGGGAGGAAAAAGAGCUGCCAAGAUACAGGUUCUGGUGUUGUAGAACCCAAAUGGACAAGACAGAGGAGACAGCAAUGGCCCGCAGCUUGCGGAGUAAGCCUGUGGUGUCCUUUCCCUUCCUCCUUUUUCUUCUCAGGGCUGACAGGAUGGUAAGGUGAUGUUAUUCAGGAAAAAGUGGUUUGGGAAAGCCCUGAGGCAGUCCCCCACAGGGUUUGCAAACGGCAGUUCUCAUUGGUCUUUAUCAUUCCCUGUGAAAUGCUGUCCUCCACAGAGCACCAGCAGGGUGAGAAGGGAAGGGUAACCAAGAUCCACUGCUUUAACAUAGUUGAGACUUGUUCACGAUAUAGAUGAUAUUUUUGGUAAAGUCAGUUCACAUUUUUCUCACCAGCUCUAUAUUUGGAGAAAACUUGCAAUUUCAGAGAGUUUUUUUUUCCCUUAAACUUUAAACACCAUAUUAAAUUCAAGGAAACUGCAAGAGCCAAGUAGCUCUAUCAGCCAUUUUUGUUCCUACAUACUGCCUGUUUUUUGAAAAUGGGAUCCAUUUUUCUUCCACUACUAAUUUCACUGGUUGCUAAUCAAAUGCAAAGUCUGGACAACAGAGUUUGGCCCUACCUCUGCAGGCUAUUCUUCCAGAGCAAGAUGUAAUCCACCCACAAGAUGCCACCAUCCAAGGAUAAGGGGGAGCAGUACCAUCUCUGACCUUUGGCUCACCUGAGAUUACUGAUGUCCAUCAAGAGAGAUUUCAACAGCUUUGCUUUAGAGACACGGAGCAAUCCAUAUGCAUGUGUUUCUGUGUUUAUGUGGGAGACAAGCCUAUAAAUCUUUCUUCAUAAAUGACAAAUUAUGUCCCCUCCACAUGUUCCACUCUGCCUCUCCUGCCACUCAUACUCUGUUUCCCAAAUCUAAUCCUUCAAAUGUAGUCCUUUCAUCUUCUUUUAAAUGCAACUGAUAAAGUGAAAUGGCAUUAAACCAGACCAAAAGGUCUUUUUUCCUGGUAAACAUUCAGUUGAAUCCACUGCCUGCUUUGUCUUUAAGGAAAAAUAUUCACAGCCUAAUAAUGUUUCUUUAGCACAAAAGGAGUAUCAUGUGCUGGAUGAAUCAAAAUGUACCCGAACUCAUAUUUUUAAAGAUUCCAUUUAGCCAAAAAUACAUUUCUGCAUGCAUUAUCUACAUGCAGAUAUUUUAUGCCAUGGUGAGCCCUCUCUACAUAAGCAUGAAGGAGAACUGAGUAAGAUCUCAUAUGUUUCUCUAGCGAAAAAAAGCAGCAAGGAAGAAGUAUCCUAUUCAAUCAGCAAAAGUAGGACUGCAAUUAAAAUAUUUUUAUAGGUAUUUUACAAAGUCAUUAAAAAAAUUAUCCCGAGAAACAAGGUAUUCCUCAGAAAAGCCUUUAAGAUUUCUGAUGUAAACCAGCAUCCCCCUUGUGGCCAUUUCAGUGUUAUUUGAAGCUUCUUGUGAUUCUAUGCAUCAGGAGCACAACCUUUCUACAUCUAGACAUCUGCAAGAAACGUUUUAGCACUUUAUUUGUACAAAGACAAAAAUAAUCAUAUUUCAAAGAUUUUCCAUUUUGAGUUCAAAAUGUACUCUGCAAAUUAGGGUUUCGAGGUGAAGACCCUAUUGAGUAAAAAAUGACCAGGGUACUUGUGUCACCAAUUGUGUCACCAAUGAGCUAUUUUAAUAAAGGCUGAUUGGUAAAAGUAGAUGGAAAAAUCUAAACAAAUCUUCCAUGUUUUCUCCAAUUAAUUUUUAGGAAGAUCCCAUUUCACCUCUAAAAUUUUUCAAAUUAACUUUUUUUCCUAAAUAACACAACUCUAAAAAAAUCAAUACUAUAACUCUUCAAAACAUAAAGGUAUCUCUUGGCAAACAAAAAUUACUACUAACAUUUUUAUUAAAAUAUGUGGAAAAAUAUCUUAAUGGAAAAAAUGGAAAGCAUCAAAAAUUUUUUGCAAACCACCCUUCAUGUUUUCAGUAAGUUUAAGGAGUAUUCAAAAAUUGGGACAAGCUAUAGAUCUAACUAAACAUAUUGAAAUUAUAUGUUAAAAAUGCCUCUGAACUUGUAAUACAAAAAUUUACAUAUUUUACUUUCCCUUCUCCCACACACAUACUUGUGUUGCUCUUCAGUAAUGUAUGAUAUUUUAAGACAAACAAAUGGGAGAUUAUAUAUAAUCAAUUCUAAUAUGUCAAUGAUGCGCAUUACAGCAUUUAUAGAUUUAAGGAAUUUUUCUCUUCAUAAGCAACUUUUUCCCUUUUCUAACAAAUACCAGAGAAGACAUUGCCACAGUGUUCCAAUUGGAGUGUAAGCCUAUGAGGAACAAUGAAAAUAGAAUGAAAGAAUUGAUCAAAAUUACUUAUUUCUCUUCUGCAUGCUGUUACAGUGGCUCCUUAAACUGAGCUUUUCAACACAUCUCAAAUCCAUUCACAGAGUAAGCGAGUCCCUUAAUGUAUAUUGUAAUGUCAUUCCAUUGCUCCAAGACCUUCAAGAGGAUACUUCCUAAUUUUCCUGAAAAACUAUCUCCUAAAAGUAUGUCCCAGAGACUGAGCUGGUUUGUGGAGAGCAGCUGAAGCUGGAGAUACUGGUGGGUUACCUGUGAUGGACCAAGAGUCACACUGGGAAUACACUGACAGCUUUACUAAAAAAUGUAUGGCAAGUUAUUCUUGAAAUAGACCGCCGUGGAUUUGGAAAAGACUGUGUACAGUUAUAUUCAUGGCAGGCAUAAACACUCAGUGUCACUCUGUAGAUACCAGGAUGUCAUCAGCUAUACUUUUCAGUUCUGGAAUUGAUCUUAGGUUUUUAUUGCAAAAUGUUUUAAUGCUUAUUAGCCUACUCUGAAAUGUUUUCAAUGUUUACUUAAAAUUUCCAGUCAUUCUUGAAAACUCCUUUUGGUAAUAUACACAAAGGGUAGAUAAUGACGGUUGUCAAAGUAAUACAUAAUGACUACUCCAAGAAAUAUUUUCUAGCAUACACCUACCUGCAGUCAAAAUGAAUACAAGCCAGAUCCCAAUAUUUUGACCCAAAAGGUAAAAAUGAUUUAUAAACAAUUAUAUAGAAAAGCUGAUUCUUAUUCUCUGUUUACUAUAAACGUAUAUCUAGUUUGGCAUUAGGAUUUUUUUCAGAUAUAUUUCUGUCCUGUGAUCCAGCUAGCCCUGAAAUGCAUGAGUGCUCUUUCACUGACUUUAACUACAGCUAGAUCACACCAGUUUUAAAAGACAAAUCUUUUACAUGGUUGUUUUAUGAGAUGACUUUUACAGCGCUGACUUCUUGUACAGAGAAAUCUUCCUUAAGUGUAAAUUUGAAGAUGCAGUACACAAAAUUUUCCAUAACAGAAAUUUUCCAUUCUCUUUUAUCUUCAUUACUGUACUUCCCUAUUAGAAGGGAGGAAUGGUUUACAGCCUACUUGCAGUGUUUACUUUAGCUUAAUCUAAUUAGUUGACCCCAUUAAAUCAAUUUCAACUCCUGCCCUUUGCUUUUACUUCAAGUUCAAAUGCUAUGUUAGAAAUGAGCAAAAA